AGUGAACGCUGGCGGUAGGCCUAACACAUGCAAGUCGAACGGCAGCACAGGAGAGCUUGCUCUCUGGGUGGCGAGUGGCGGACGGGUGAGGAAUACAUCGGAAUCUACUUUCUCGUGGGGGAUAACGUAGGGAAACUUACGCUAAUACCGCAUACGACCUACGGGAGAAAGCAGGGGACCUUCGGCCCUUGCGCGAUGGAAUGAGCCGAUGUCGGAUUAGCUAGUUGGCGGGGUAAAGGCCCACCAAGGCGACGAUCCGUAGCUGGUCUGAGAGGAUGAUCAGCCACGCUGGAACUGAGACACGGUCCAGACUCCUACGGGAGGCAGCAGUGGGGAAUACUGGACAAUGGGCGCAAGCCUGAUCCAGCCAUACCGCGUGGGUGAAGAAGGCCUUCGGGUUGUAAAGCCCUUUUGUUGGGAAAGAAAUCCAGCUGGCUAAUACCCGGUUGGGAUGACGGUACCCAAAGAAUAAGCACCGGCUAACUUCGUGCCAGCCGCCGCCGUAA
rnacentral:rRNA from 1 species